rnacentral:lncRNA from 1 species
GUGAGACUGCUUCUGUCACCUACCCAAAGCCAGAGACCUUCGACAAAUCACCUUGCAGAUGAUGCAGGAUAACCAGCAGCACAGAUGGAGGAGGUCUGUAAGGUCCUGGGCCACAGCCCUGCCUUCCUCUCCCUGACCAAGUAUUUAGAAGGAAUAAUGACCAACAGCUCUGACCUGGGCAGCCUUUCAAGGAACAUGCAUCCACUCCUGCUCUUGUUGGCCUUUCUUCUACCCUCUGAGCCUGCAAUAGGGAGAACCUGGGAGGAUUCUCGUCUGGU